rnacentral:rRNA from 1 species
CACAAGCGGCGGAGCAUGCGGAUUAAUUCGAUGCAACGCGAAGAACCUUACCAAGGCUUGACAUGUUCCCGAUCGCCGUAGAGAUACGAUUUCCCCUUUGGGGCGGGUUCACAGGUGGUGCAUGGUUGUCGUCAGCUCGUGUCGUGAGAUGUUGGGUUAAGUCCCGCAACGAGCGCAACCCUYGUUCYWWGUUGCCAKCAMGUMAUGGUGGGGACUCWWGSGAGACUGCCGGGGUCAACUCGGAGGAAGGUGAGGACGACGUCAAAUCAUCAUGCCCCUUAUGUCUUGGGCUUCACGCAUGCUACAAUGGCCAGUACAAUGGGUUGCGAUACUGUGAGGUGGAGCUAAUCCCAAAAAGCCGGUCUCAGUUCGGAUUGGGGUCUGCAACUCGACCCCAUGAAGUCGGAGUCGCGUCGACGCGCCGCGAAUUCUACAGUGC